AUUGUUUCUUGGCUUUUUAGCUAAGAUCAAAGUGUAUUAUCUGCUCUUCUCAGCUUAAUAUCUGGUAUGCUCCCUAUGUGGGGCUAUCAAUAUCAAACUAAUUUUUAGAAUGAGCUGAAGAGUUAAGGGCUUGCUCCAACUUUGCCACAGGUAGUCUUUUACAGUAUUACAAUAUUUCCAAAAUUCA
rfam:Octopus bimaculoides Scaffold47349_contig_28, whole genome shotgun sequence.